UCCUUCUUAGCUCAGUUGGUAGAGCGCGUCACUAGUAUCACUCCAGGUGUAUGAUACAUGACGAGGUCAGUCGUUCAAGUCGGCUAGAAGGAA
rnacentral:tRNA from 1 species